rnacentral:miRNA from 8 species
UGUGGGUGUUAACUCGGUCAGAUG